rnacentral:sRNA from 2 species
GACGCGCAAGCGCCGAAGGCAGGAGCGGGGGACCCAAGGUAAGUGCCGACCCCGCCCGUGAGAGCGGGUCAGUCGGCUUGGGGUGAAGUCGUGUGUGCAGCACACACGGCCGGGCAGCUCACACGGCCCGAACCCGACAGCUCACCUCGUAGGCGUCGGUGAGGAAACGA